GUCCAUAUUCCUAAAAUGCAAGAAAUGACAGAUUUGGUCAGGUUUGGUGCUACUUGUACUUUACAUUAGGUGUAGUUAUAGCACAUGGUAUUACAUAUUCAGCCUUACAAAAUUGCUGCAAUGUGUUUCAGUGUUAUUUGACAUAACAGGUUAUAUGACUUAGUCAGGCCAUGGCCAGUAAGGGUCAGGGCAAAAAUUAGAGCAGCUCUGGGUGCAUUUCUGGUCAGUUACUGGGAGCAUUAUCUCUGCAUACAUGUCCUUGAGUUAUACAAAAGAUUUUCUUGAUCCAGCACGCCUCAGCUUUUACCUGAGGAUGCCUUUUACCUUAGGAGACCUCAGCGCACAUGCUGUAAUUUUUGUGUUGGUGCCAACAGAGUGGUAGGAGCACUCAAUUACGGAGAAUGCCAGCAGGAGCUUUCUGGUCUCUUGAAAAGCAUAGGACAGCCAUUGCCUUCAGCAGCGUGACUCUGAUUCCUGCCGGUACAGAGCUGAGAUAACGGAUUUCAAUCAGCAGGACCCUUUCACCGUGCUACUCAAGGCUCUACCUUACCUGUGGACAACUAAUUCUCGCCAUACGUGCUCCUGUACUAGAUGAGACGCCCCCAGCCCCGUCUCCAGGGUCACAGCCUGGUGGACGCUGCCUGGGAAAGCUGUACCAGAGGUCCGGCCCAUUCAGAGCCCUCCCAGCACCCGGUUCCUUGGUCCUCAAACUUCAGAGUGGCAUUACCAUGUGCAGUCACAGGAGGGUGCCAUGUUACUGGCAGGCAACAUCCUGUCUACACUUGCGUUGUUCAAGAUAAUACCGUCUGUCCAAUCCAGC
rnacentral:lncRNA from 1 species